AUAGAUAGCUUCAUAUUGAUAGAACUGUGUAGACCAUUAACAGCAUUUUUUUCCCGUUCUUCUCAGGCACUGAAAACAAAUAAAAAUUUCCAGAACUGUCCUCAGUUAUCAAGACUUGCGUCCUCUAGUGUUUUGAAAGAGGCAACCUGCCUUCUUCUUUAUCACAAAAGAACUAUAAUAUUCAACAUUCCUUGUUCCAUAUACUAGGACAAAUUUGUGCAAAUACUCUUUCUUCCCUGGUGCUUUGAGAGCAUGGAAUGUGUUGCCUGAGUCAGCCUGGAAAAUGAUUGAUUUGACAGAGUUUAAGUCAUCGCUUAACAUACAUGACUAGAUUGGCCUAGGGACAUCCGCGGGAUGUGACGUAAUUGUCUUCUUUUUUUAAAUGACAUCUGUUUUUUGAUCAGAUAACUUCUCCCUGUCUGAAAUACCUGCUAGAAAACUAGUCUAUUAAAUAUCUUUGUAGCUCUUUUAGUUCUAGACCUGUAAGAUAUUUCAUCAACACAUGUUGUUAAACCUCUGACCUAAUUCUCACAAAGUCCACAUUUUAAACAGAAAAAAAAAAUGAUGUCGUAAAAUGCGAUUUGAAGGAAGUGUACAUUUGCGACAUAUUGUGAGCCACAUGAACCAGCUCAAGAACCAAUUCUUCCUUCUUAAAAAAAAAAAACGUGGUUUU